UACACUUUAGUAUAUAAUGUAUAAAAGUUUUUGAUACUUUAGGAAAUAGAUAAAACUAUUAAGUGU
rnacentral:tRNA from 1 species